GUGACGCUCCGCAGUCGGCUGACCUCGCCGGCAGUGGGCGAGGCUGGUUCUGGACCGUGUUCCAGUCGCCACCGUGUCCGCUGAGGUCAUGCACCAAUGGCCAGCUAUGCGUGCUUGGCCGCUGCCUGGAGAGCACCAGUCUUCGCGUCUCGUGCCUCCUGGACGGUGACUGCGCUGCCGGCUACUCUUGUGACGUGCUCGGGCUGGGCACCUGUCGCACGAGCCGGGCCACCGCAACCGUGGACGAGCCGCACCGACGACUGCCUCUCAAUGCGGAGUUGCCGGCGGCCAGCACAGCCGUGGCGCCGUCACAGGGCACCACAGCGCCACCUGUUUUGCGGCGCCACCCGAGCGCCACCGCCGACCGUCCACCGGCGGCACGCGCUGCCCACCUCCACACCGGACUCCUGUGCCUCUCAGGCCGACAGUGCGCGAGCGGCGUCUGCGUACGGCGCGGUCUCGGCGUCUGCCGUCCGACGCCGGCCUGCCAGUGUGCCGACGACCACUACUGUGGCGACGGCGGGGUGUGCACGGUCAGGAAGGAGGCAGGCGCCGUCUGCACGACUGGCGAGCAGUGUCGGUCGGCGCGCUGCGUGCGCACGCCGUCGGGGUCACUGUGCGCCUGCCUCUCAUGUGACGAGUGCUCUCCGGGGGAUCAGUGUGUGCAAUUCGAAUGCAUUGCUGCCCCGUCUACUGAGAUGAACGCGGUUACGGAACUUGUUGUGAAAUAUCGCUGAAUGGUGCAAUUUACAAUUGCAGCUGACGCGUAACUAAACAGAAGCACGAUGUUAAGUUCAAUAGUUUUAGAACUUGUAAGUUUUUCCGACGGCUGUUUGGAAAGCAUUACAAAAUGACACACA